CCGCACCUCAAGUGGUCAGGAUGAUUAUUGGGCCUAAAGCAUCCGUAGCCGGCGCUGUAAGUUUUCGGUUAAAUCUGUACGCUCAACGUACAGGCUGCCGGGAAUACUGCAGCGCUAGGGAGUGGGAGAGGUAGACGGUACUCGGUAGGAAGGGGUAAAAUCCUUUGAUCUAUUGAUGACCACCUGUGGCGAAGGCGGUCUACCAGAACACGUCCGACGGUGAGGGAUGAAAGCUGGGGGAGCAAACCGGAUUAGAGACCCGAGUAGUCC
rnacentral:rRNA from 1 species